rnacentral:rRNA from 1 species
GAAGAGUUUGAUCAUGGCUCAGAUUGAACGCUGGCGGCAGGCCUAACACAUGCAAGUCGAACGGUAACAGGAAGCAGCUUGCUGCUUUGCUGACGAGUGGCGGACGGGUGAGUAAUGUCUGGGAAACUGCCUGAUGGAGGGGGAUAACUACUGGAAACGGUGGCUAAUACCGCAUAACGUCGCAAGACCAAAGAGGGGGACCUUCGGGCCUCUUGCCAUCAGAUGUGCCCAGAUGGGAUUAGCUUGUUGGUGAGGUAACGGCUCACCAAGGCGACGAUCCCUAGCUGGUCUGAGAGGAUGACCAGCCACACUGGAACUGAGACACGGUCCAGACUCCUACGGGAGGCAGCAGUGGGGAAUAUUGCACAAUGGGCGCAAGCCUGAUGCAGCCAUGCCGCGUGUAUGAAGAAGGCCUUCGGGUUGUAAAGUACUUUCAGCGGGGAGGAAGGUGUUGUGGUUAAUAACCGCAGCAAUUGACGUUACCCGCAGAAGAAGCACCGGCUAACUCCGUGCCAGCAGCCGCGGUAAUACGGAGGGUGCAAGCGUUAAUCGGAAUUACUGGGCGUAAAGCG